UAUGGUCAGCUAGUUGCUUUGGGAUU
rnacentral:piRNA from 1 species